rnacentral:lncRNA from 1 species
CUAUUAUACUUCAUAAAACAAUUUAUCAUGUUCCCUUAUUCGUAUUUCUCAAGAGCACAAAGGCAUGUAAGGGUAGUAACUAGUAAAGUGUAUGAAAUGCACAUGCUCUAAAAGAAAGAGGAAACUGACUGUCCUAUGAAAACCUGCACUUGAAGAGUUGAAUUAAAGUUAGGCUAGAGGAUUAACAGUAGUGGUGUACCGUUUUUGCUGAAUUAUAUUGAACACAGACUAGGCACUACAACAAUGAAUCCUGCAUUUGGUCGAAAGGGUAACCAUGAAGUCAUCAUCGUUUUGUGAAUCUAAUUAAGUACAUGGACUCCAGGUUGAUGGAAUUAAACUUUCUUUCUUGGUCCUAAAAUUACCCUCAACUCUCUCAGUUUUUCACUUUGAAUAACCAUAAUCAGAACUAACUGUAUUGAUGUGUGCAGGAAUUGUUUUUACUACAUCAGGCACUCAAUCCAGAUUUCCUCUCUAGUCAACAUUUGAUGAAAGCUGGGGUAUACAUUUAUUUUGGAAAUAUUUUACUAAUGCAUCUGAACCCUCAUGACCAAAACUGGCAUAAUGCAGCUCUACAGGACCGUGAUGCGUGGUAAGACAAUGGGUAGAUGGCUGAAAGAUCAAAAGGAAAAGAAAAAACAAGAGCUUAGAACUCACAGUGCCCAAGUGCACGCAGCAAUUUCCGUAGCAGGGGUUGCAGCUGCUGUGGCUGC